UUUUGCAUUGGCCUUGCGUGCCAUGAUGCUAUUACCGACAGCAUGCAAAAGGUGGGUUUUGCCCAAUCCGGUUCCGCCAUA
rnacentral:antisense_RNA from 1 species